GGGGGCGUUCUGGUUUCGACUUGUGGUUUGGACGAUGGGUUGCAUGUCGAGGAUGAUUCGUUGGCCUCGUAAAUAACCGGAUCAAAACAAUAAGUGCAGACCACAAUCUCGCACUGGCUGCCUAAUUCGUAGCCCGUCUCUUCCCGGAUGUCUGCUAGGGGAAAGAGGCGCCGACAGCAGGCUGGGUCCAAGGCGGGGUGUCCGCGCGGAGGGCCGAGACUCAAACAGGGCAAUCGGAUCCGGUAGGCGCGGCGGCUGGCCGGCCUGGUCCUAAAUCCACAGACGCACAAACAUGUAGACGCUCGUGGUCCAGGUCAUGAGGACAGGGGUUCGACUCCCCUCGCCUCCAUCC
rnacentral:tmRNA from 1 species